AUCGUGGAAAAAGUGAUCAAAACCGUUUCGGCGGUCAUCAAAGACGGUGCUAAGGUUGUGGAAGGUGUGCGGAAGGUGAUUGGUCAGGGUGUUAACCUGGUGAAAGACGAGCUCCAGAAAGUCGGCGAUAAGUUGAAACAAACAGCCGACUCUGUAAAAACCGUGGCGGAAAAUGUUGCGAAUGGUGCUGAGAAAGCCUUGCAGACAGUGGCGGCCGGUGUCAAAGAAGCCGCCGAGAACGUGAAAACCGUGGUGGAGAAUGUGGCCAAAGAUGUGGCGUCCGGGGUGAAAGAUACGGCCCAAGACAUCGCCGGUGGGGCGAAGGACGUUGUGGACAAGGUCAAGGACUUCUUUGGUGGAAUUCGUCUCCGACGCCGGAGAAGUCUGGCAAAUCAGCCCACGUGCGAUCAGUUGGAUCAGCUUCAAAAUGCCUGCUUGUUUUACCAAGGCUGGUGCAAAAAAUGUGACGUGUUCGGAACGAGCGAGGCUCCUUCAAAUGUCUUUGAGAUAGUCACUGGAGUGUGCGGGUCAUCGCUUACUCAAGAGUAUGAGCGACUG